AAGCCACUGUUACAUAUGAUGGGGUGCUGCUCUCCUGGAGAUGGUUGAACACCUGAUUGCCUAUAGGCAGACAUUUAUUGUUUCUCUGCGAUGCUGAAGAAAGACCAUGUAUAGCAGUAAAUACAAUUCAGAAGGAAGAGAGAGAAGACAAAUAGGAGAUACGAUCCCGAAAGCUAUCAGUAAGGAGUGUUUCUCGAUCUCCACUUAAAACAAGGCCUACAAAGCUGCAAGUGUUCAUGCACAGUCUCAUUAGAGGACUGUACUCUUGGCCUUCUAGCACAGAGCUGUGAGUGAACUUCAAAUAUAACAGUGCAUCAAUCAGAUCCAAGGUAGGCUUUUAAUGUCAUUUUUUCUACUUUGCCUUUAAAGUCCUUUAAAGGAGUGCCCUUUCCACUGUGCAACCAAUGAUCAUUCAACAGCACUAAACAAACUAACAAAAAGCCUCUCAGG